UACGGAGGGUGCGAGCGUUGUCCGGAAUCAUUGGGCGUAAAGCGCGCGUAGGCGGCCCCGUAAGUCCGCUGUGAAAGUCAAAGGCUCAACCUUUGAAAGCCGGUGGAUACUGUGGGGCUAGAGUACGGAAGAGGCGAGUGGAAUUCCUGGUGUAGCGGUGGAAUGCGCAGAUAUCAGGAGGAACACCAAUAGCGAAGGCAGCUCGCUGGGACGUUACUGACGCUGAGGCGCGAAAGCGUGGGGAGCGAACAGG
rnacentral:rRNA from 1 species